rnacentral:lncRNA from 1 species
GUCAAAAAUAUAAAAGAACUUACCUGGAAUUGUGAAAGAAAUAAGUUGUUUUCUUUUCCAGCUCAAAAUUUCAGGACAACUUUCCAGCACAAAGCAUGUCACAAUCUUCUAUUUUCUAACAUCUCACACUGAAGCAUGGCUUCAAUGGAGCAACAGGGAUAUCAGGGUGGAAGCCAACCAAGGAAGGAAAGCAGUGUAAAAGAGCAAUAUUGCUGGGUAUCCACUUCAGCCAUUUGAAGACAUUAUGAGGACUCUGGUGGGGAUCUUGACCCCUCUUUGCUCUGAGACAGUGCAAACCUGCCUCUAUUUUAGUCACAGGUGCUUUGGGAGUCCAGAAGAGGGUGUCAGAUCACCUGGAUCACCUGUGGAUGUGAGCAGCCCAACUUUAAUCCACCAGACCAGCAGCUGGGAAGAACUCUUCAUUUUCUGUCCUGGGAAAUAG